rnacentral:rRNA from 1 species
GUGUCAGCCGCCGCGGUAAAACGUAGGGGGCGAGCGUUAUCCGGAUUUACUGGGCGUAAAGCGCAAGUAGGCGGUUCGGCAAGUUGGACGUGAAAGCUCCUGGCUUAACUGGGAGAGGUCGUUUGAAACUACCGGACUUGAGGUUGGAAGAGGAGUGUGGAAUUCCCGGUGUAGUGGUGGAAUGCGUAGAUAUCGGGAGGAACACCAGUGGCGAAAGCGGCACUCUGGUCCAAACCUGACGCUGAGAUGCGAAAGCGUGGGGAGCAAACGGGAUUAGAAACCCGUGUAGUCC